GUAGUCCACGCCGUAAACGAUGAUAACUAGCCGUUGGGAGGAUUUACCUCUUAGUGGCGAAGCUAACGCGUUAAGUUAUCCGCCUGGGGAGUACGGCCGCAAGGUUAAAACUCAAAGGAAUUGACGGGGACCCGCACAAGCGGUGGAGCAUGUGGUUUAAUUCGAUGCAACGCGAAGAACCUUACCUACCCUUGACAUCCAGAGAAUCUGUUAGAGAUAGUAGAGUGCCUUCGGGAACUCUGAGACAGGUGCUGCAUGGCUGUCGUCAGCUCGUGUCCGUGAGAUGUUGGGUUAAGUCCCGUAACG
rnacentral:rRNA from 1 species